rnacentral:rRNA from 1 species
GCGAGCGAACGGGGAGCAGCCCAGAGCCUGAAUCAGUGUGUGUGUUAGUGGAAGCGUCUGGAAAGGCGCGCGAUACAGGGUGACAGCCCCGUACACAAAAAUGCACAUGCUGUGAGCUCGAUGAGUAGGGCGGGACACGUGGUAUCCUGUCUGAAUAUGGGGGGACCAUCCUCCAAGGCUAAAUACUCCUGACUGACCGAUAGUGAACCAGUACCGUGAGGGAAAGGCGAAAAGAACCCCGGCGAGGGGAGUGAAAAAGAACCUGAAACCGUGUACGUACAAGCAGUGGGAGCACAGAGCAAUCUGUGUGACUGCGUACCUUUUGUAUAAUGGGUCAGCGACUUAUAUUCUGUAGCAAGGUUAACCGAAUAGGGGAGCCGAAGGGAAACCGAGUCUUAACUGGGCGUUAAGUUGCAGGGUAUAGACCCGAAACCCGGUGAUCUAGCCAUGGGCAGGUUGAAGGUUGGGUAACACUAACUGGAGGACCGAACCGACUAAUGUUGAAAAAUUAGCGGAUGACUUGUGGCUGGGGGUGAAAGGCCAAUCAAACCGGGAGAUAGCUGGUUCUCCCCGAAAGCUAUUUAGGUAGCGCCUCGUGAAUUCAUCUCCGGGGGUAGAGCACUGUUUCGGCAAGGGGGUCAUCCCGACUUACCAACCCGAUGCAAACUGCGAAUACCGGAGAAUGUUAUCACGGGAGACACACGGCGGGUGCUAACGUCCGUCGUGAAGAGGGAAACAACCCAGACCGCCAGCUAAGGUCCCAAAGUCAUGGUUAAGUGGGAAACGAUGUGGGAAGGCCCAGACAGCCAGGAUGUUGGCUUAGAAGCAGCCAUCAUUUAAAGAAAGCGUAAUAGCUCACUGGUCGAGUCGGCCUGCGCGGAAGAUGUAACGGGGCUAAACCAUGCACCGAAGCUGCGGCAGCGACGCUUAUGCGUUGUUGGGUAGGGGAGCGUUCUGUAAGCCUGCGAAGGUGUGCUGUGAGGCAUGCUGGAGGUAUCAGAAGUGCGAAUGCUGACAUAAGUAACGAUAAAGCGGGUGAAAAGCCCGCUCGCCGGAAGACCAAGGGUUCCUGUCCAACGUUAAUCGGGGCAGGGUGAGUCGACCCCUAAGGCGAGGCCGAAAGGCGUAGUCGAUGGGAAACAGGUUAAUAUUCCUGUACUUGGUGUUACUGCGAAGGGGGGACGGAGAAGGCUAUGUUGGCCGGGCGACGGUUGUCCCGGUUUAAGCGUGUAGGCUGGUUUUCCAGGCAAAUCCGGAAAAUCAAGGCUGAGGCGUGAUGACGAGGCACUACGGUGCUGAAGCAACAAAUGCCCUGCUUCCAGGAAAAGCCUCUAAGCAUCAGGUAACAUCAAAUCGUACCCCAAACCGACACAGGUGGUCAGGUAGAGAAUACCAAGGCGCUUGAGAGAACUCGGGUGAAGGAACUAGGCAAAAUGGUGCCGUAACUUCGGGAGAAGGCACGCUGAUAUGUAGGUGAAGUCCCUCGCGGAUGGAGCUGAAAUCAGUCGAAGAUACCAGCUGGCUGCAACUGUUUAUUAAAAACACAGCACUGUGCAAACACGAAAGUGGACGUAUACGGUGUGACGCCUGCCCGGUGC